GACAGGCUUUCCGUAAUUCGGAGCUUUCUGGAUAACGGGUUUCCGGAUAAGGGAUCCCAUACCUGUACCAGGGGAAGAAUGAGCUACAAAUACCCCGUUUUUGGAGAAGAUAUUACACAACUGGGAAAGAUAAAAGAUACCACCACCAAACAAAACAAUUGUUUUGGAAGGAUGCCUAAGCCCAUGCAGUGAUUUCCACUAAAGGAUUGUGUCUGUUAUUGCUGCAGUGCUGCCUGAGAGCCGUCCCACAGAUCACGGCCAUCCAGUAUUGGCAUGUGGCCUUGUCCCUUGACUGAGAUUUCUCUGGAUUUUCUGAAUCUUUUAAUAAAAUAUACUGAAGAUGA